rnacentral:rRNA from 1 species
CCAGGUGGCUAUAGAGAGAGGGAAACGCCCGGCCCCAUUCCGAACCCGGAAGCUAAGCCUCCCUUCGCUGAUGAUACUGCAUCUUUCAGGUGUGGAAAACUAGGUCGCCGCCUGGU